rnacentral:rRNA from 1 species
GCUUGGGAAGAUAAUGACGGUACCAGGAGGAGGAAGCCACGGCUAACUACGUGCCAGCAGCCGCGGUAAUACGUAGGUGGCAAGCGUUGUCCGGAAUUACUGGGCGUAAAGGGCGUGUAGGCGGCCAUUUAAGUCAGACGUGAAAGGCAUGGGCUUAACCCAUGAAGUGCGUUUGAGACUGGAGGGCUUGAGGACCGGAGAGGGCAGUGGAAUUCCCAGUGUAGCGGUGAAAUGCGUAGAUAUUGGGAGGAACACCAGUGGGGAAGGCGACUGCCUGGACGGCACCUGACGCUGAGGCGCGAAAGCUAGGGGAGCAAACGGGAUUAGAUACCCCGGUAGUCCUAGCCGUAAACGAUGGGUACUAGGUGUGGGAGGUAUCGACCCCUUCCGUGCCGCAGUAAACACAAUAAGUACCCCGCCUGGGGAGUACGGCCGCAAGGUUGAAACUCAAAGGAAUUGACGGGGGCCCGCACAAGCGGUGGAGCAUGUGGUU